rnacentral:sRNA from 1 species
CCGGCCGCCUCACCGCCGCCACGAUCGUCAUCUCCCUCACCACAGGCAAGGUAACCUCAGUCUUCCACUCCGUCCUCCCACCCACAGCUUUUCCCCCGGGAACCCCGUACACAGACUACUCCCCAUAUAUCCUCAUGCCGGGCCUGGUGGAUGCGCACGUGCAUCUGAACGAACCUGGCCGGACCGAAUGGGAAGGCUUCGAGACGGGGACGCGUGCGGCGGCGUUCGGCGGCGUGACUACCGUCAUUGACAUGCCGUUGAAUGCCAUCCCGCCCACGACGACGGUCAAGGCGUUGCGCGAGAAGAUUGCCGCGGCGGCCGGGAAGUGUUGGGUUGAUGUGGGCUUUUAUGGCGGGGUUGUUCCUGGGAACGUCAGUGAGUUGAGAGG